CAAGGAAUUUUCCGCAAUGGGCGCAAGCCUGACGGAGCAACGCCGCGUGCCGGAUGACGGCUUUCGGGUUGUAAACGGCUUUUCUCAGGGAAGACAUCGACGGUACCUGAGGAAUAAGCCCCGGCUAACUCCGUGCCAGCAGCCGCGGUAAUACGGAGGGGGCAAGCGUUGUCCGGACUUACUGGGCGUAAAGCGUGCGUAGGCGGCCACGUGCGUCGGGACUGAAAGCGCCCCGCUUAACGGGGCGAGGUGUACCGAUACGACGUGGCUCGAGGCAGGGAGAGGUUGGUAGAAUUCCGGGUGUAGUUGUGAAAUGCGUAGAUAUCCGGAGGAAUACCGGUGGCGUAGGCGACCAACUGGCCCUGACCUGACGCUGAGGCACGAAAGCGUGGGGAGCAAACCGGAUUAGAUACCCCCGUAGUCC
rnacentral:rRNA from 1 species